rnacentral:tRNA from 1 species
UGCGAGGUAGAGCAGUCUGGCAGCUCGCCGGGCCUCAUAAGCCAUAGGUCGGCGGUUCGAAUCCGUCCCUCGCUA